rnacentral:tRNA from 1 species
UCCGAUAUGGUGUAGUGGCUAACACUAUCGCCUCUCAUGCGAUAGCCCGGGGUUUGAUUCCCCUGGUCGGAA